AACGCGUGGGUAAUCUCCCCCCGAAUUGGGGAUAACCCGCCGAAAGGCGGGCUAAUACCGAAUGAUAUCUUGAAUAUUUAUGUUUUUAAGAUCAAAGAUGGCCUCUACAUGUAAGCUAUUGUUUGGGGAUGAGCCCGCGUACCAUUAGCUUGUUGGUAGGGUAAUGGCCUACCAAGGCUACGAUGGUUAGCUGGUCUGAGAGGAUGAUCAGCCACACUGGAACUGACACACGGUCCAG
rnacentral:rRNA from 1 species